rnacentral:rRNA from 1 species
CCUUGUCGGGUAAGUUCCGACCUGCACGAAUGGAGUAACGACUUGGGCGCUGUCUCAACCGUGGACUCGGCGAAAUUGCACUACGAGUAAAGAUGCUCGUUACGCGCGGCAGGACGGAAAGACCCCG